rnacentral:lncRNA from 1 species
CAAAGAUCACUAUACUAAGAAAAGAAAAAGCACUUUGCCUUUGAGUCCCACAGAUUACACGUUCUGGAAAGACUGCAUACCAAGUAGCAGAUUUAUUUUAGUUUGUUUACAAAAAAAUGUGCAGACCAAAGUUCAAUGCUGCUAUUGGGGAGCUACUAAAGACAUCAAUAAGUAGAUGUCUAAUGUUUAAACACAUUUCAUUGAAAAUGGUUGGAAGUAUCUGAGCCAAUUAUUUCUUAUGUGACCCUAAAGAAAACAGAUACCUACCUGACCCCAAAACUACUUGAGGAAAUUGCUUCCGUGACCCUGCUGCAGAUGGGAGAGAGGGCCCAUUAAGAAGAGAGUGGGGUCAGGAUCAACACA